CCAGCUGAAUUGUUAGAAAGUUUGAAAUGUAAGAUUGCAUCCUGUGAGUGUGGUGGUGGUGGUUGGUUUCUGUUUGUUUUUGUUGUGGGUUUUUUUAAUGAUCUUUUGGCUAGGGGAGAUGGGAGACAGGGCUGGGUUUGGGGUUGUCUUUUAUUGCUGUUUUGUUACUGACUAUGGAAUGUAAACGUGAUUAAAAUAGAGCAGUAAAGCUUAAAGCAUUAGCUAUUGCUUCAUCACAUUACUGUGUCAGGACUUUCAGGAUUCCUCCAUAGCUCUCUCCUGCUUUGCAGAUGUGGUGGCAACAGUUGUCCGGACGCUGUAGCUGGAGGGGGUGGAAUACCCAGGGACAGAAAUAAUUAGUGUGCUUAAUUCCCUGCCAAGGGAAAUUGAUUUGAUGGAUGGAGCAGAAAACAAGGAACCAAGAGCCCUGCAGUUCUGAACCUGCUGGUGCUGCCACUGUGUGUGACUUGUGGGCAGGUGAUAAGGCUUUGCUGCUGCAGUAUUCCAGCAUUGGCUGGCACAUCUGAUUGCUAACAUAGCACACACUGCACCUGUGAGUAGUUAGUUAGCUUCACCUCCUGUGUCUUGUGGGAGACACAGGGCAAGGAAAGGCUAUUACUGUACUCCUGGAAGGUAGUUAAGACUGCAGAUAAUUGUUCUUCUUCCUCUUGAACUCAGAUAUGUAGGGCUUCCAGGCACUCUCUGUGCCCCUUGGUCAUCUCAGUAAAGUUGUGCAGAGGCAUUCUCAAAGCACAUUUGUUGCAUGCAUUGCAUUGGAGAGGAUCUAGUCACCUUGGCUGGAUUUCAGGCAGCCCUGGGAUGGUGACGACUGCUGAGAUGCUACAGCUGAGGGAAAGUCCGUGGCAGUGGGAGAAGUGGGGUCAGGAGUGGUCCUUCAGGCCCAAGGCUGCGUGCUGGGAUCACAACCAGCUGUGACAGCCAGGGGACUGGAUUCUCACUCGUGAUAAUGGAGAGCUGGAAGGGUGCAAAGACACACAUUGUACUGAUGGAAGGACAGAGGAGGGGUGAUGAGCUGAGGCAAUGGACGUCCUGAAGCAGCAGUGGAGGACCAGCUGUUCCCGCAGUGCAUGCAGCACGUGUUUAGUCUUGCAGACAUUUCUGAGGAGUGCAAUUAUGCAGUUACUUUGCCUUGGGUAAAUACAGAUUUCAGCUAGCGCAAGUUUGAAGUGGAUUGUAAUUGUGAGAUUGUAAUUGUGAGAACAUAUAUGUUUUAAUUUCCUUUCCAAGGUUUUCUUGAUCGCUCCCUUGAUACUUCUCCCAUCAAACUAUUCUCCUGGCAGUUGAGUGUGACAGCUCAGGUCUUGAGUGCACCUGCUGCAGUCCCAAGUGAAUGUGGGCUCUCCAGCUGCUUGGAGGGGCAUGCAAGGGAAGGCUGGCAGAGCUGCAGAGGCCUGGGGCAGUCUAUACUUUGCAAAGCUUUUCUCCUCCCCUUUCCUCACUGGGUUCCUCCAUGCUCUGCCUCUGUCCCCCUGCUCACUUCCCUGGUGGUGACAGUAUGGUGGCCAUGGUGGGCCCCCACAGGUUCUGUCUCCCUCCUGGGCCUGUAGUGAGCUCUUAUCAUAGGAUCUUGUAUUUAGUUAAACAAAACAAAACAAAAAAGCCAUUGCUGUGCUGCGUUGCUCCAGCCAGGCUGGUGGCACCUGUGUGGUGGCAGUGGGAUGCCUGUUGCCAUGGUGACCCAGUGCUGGCCUCCCGCCACCAGGCCAGGGGCUCUGUGUCACCUCCCCACUGGCCCCAGGGGUCACACUGUGUCCCCAGCCCCACAACCUGUGUGUGGGGCCUCCCAGCCCCUGCUCAGAGGUGGGCUGUGUUCAGCAAGGCUUCAUUACUUUUACGAAGUACAUUUUGGGGGUUUCCUUUAGAGCCAUCCUAAACAGUUAAAACAGCGAAACCGCAGCUGUCAAAAUAAAUAACCGUGCUCUGUGUUGCUUUGUCUUUUUGUUUUCUUACGGUGCUGAAAGUUGCUUAUUCCUAAAAAUGGAAUCCACAGCGAUGCUAGCAGCUGCUGGCUCUGUUAAUGAGGAUGUCUGUCCCGGCUCUUUCCAGCAUCUGAGGUCUCCAAGUUUAACAAUGUCGUGUAUCCUGAUGAAGACUGAUGGGCCGUUUGAUUGAGGCAGAGAAUUCCUGUGGCUCUUUAUUUGGGAUGGAGAAGAGGUCAUCACGUGGAAUCUUGGCUGCAGACCUGUAGUGCUUUGAUUUGCUUUUCUCUGCUGAAGCUGAAAAUGGCGGCUUUGGGGCUGAGGCGGCUCCGCUCGGCCCCUUACAGAUCCACAGUGCAAGCGUCACUGUGGCUGGAAAGAAUUAUGUUGAAGUAUUUCUGAUUUCUUGUAUUGUUUAUAAUUUUCAAUGUCCUGUAUGUCAGCUUAGUUGUUCCAGCACUGGGUUCAGUGAUUGCUGAUCUCGUUCACCCCUUUCUUUAUGUCAGCAUUGGGAUUUCGGCACUCAGAAGGCCUGGCGCGUAGUUCAGGCCUCUGGACAUCAGCGUUUCUCUUUGUUUAUGUAUUUGCUCAUCCCUUUGUACUGUGCAGGGAGAGAACAACUUCCUAACACCAUUGACUUUUUGGCACUUGUCCCGUAAUUGCUAAAAAACUGCUGCUUCCUCCUACGUACCCAUCAGAUCUUUUUAAAGUCAGAUGGGUUUUGAAAGCAGCUUUUUGAUUUCCUGAGGUCCGCGUUCGGCCUUCCUUCCUCCUGCUCCCUCUUUCUUCCUUUGUUCUUGGAGGUUAAAGCUGUGGGUGUUGAGGUCCCAUUAGUCAUUCUGGCUGCUUCUGAGCUCUUCAUGUUGAAAAAUGCCUGGAUCAAACAAUUCCUGAAUUACAGCAGCUUUACAUCACUGGGGUUUCGUUAGUUGAGUUACUUCAGAGUGAUGUUGCUGAAUGGAGAGUCCCAUUUCUUUUGCUGGGGCUGAGAGGAUGUCCUAAAGGAUGCAGUGGUAUCAGUUUUCUUAUCUAACUGUAAUCCCUCAAAAUAGACUUAGCUCUGGGCAAAGCGUAUCCCCUUUUAGAAUCAGAAAAUUCAUAUUAGAGAUAUUGCAGUGAUUUUUUGUCAUGCUGUCUUGCGUAAAUAGUGUCCCAUGUUGUUUUUGGUUUUUUGUUUGGCCUUUAAAGGUCACAAGCAUAAAAGAUGCUGAAGGAAUGUGACAAAGCCCCACAUAUGGGUUUAAGCAGUUCCUGGACUUCAUUGCUGCCAAAGGGGAUGAGCCCGUCCGUCCUUCCCCUCCUGGUGGCUCAAGCACCGCCUCUGCUGGGUUAGAUGCUCAUUGUCAGUAGGAGGAGGGCUGUGUGAGCAGAGAGGCUGAGGUCUGUAGGCAUCUGGUGGUGGGAAAGAGAUGGUUGUGCCGGUGGUGUGGUGCUUCAACCAUGGCAGUUGUCUCUGUGGCCCGUGCAGUGGUAAGAACAGCACAUAGGAAACCAGUGUGCUGUGCCAUUGUGUCCUCCUUUCCUCUGUGGCUCUCCCUUACCAGCAGGGCCUGGCUUUCUAGGAUUGCAUUUUACAGAAUCACAAGAAUGGCCCAGGUUGGAAAGGACCUCAAGGAUCACGAAUAUCCAACUCCCCCCCCCCACCACAGGCCGGGCCACCAACCUCCACACUUCAUGCUAGACCAUGCUGCCCAGUUCAACCUGAAAGCUGGCUGUGACCUACCCGUGAUCUCUCCAUUGAGAAGUUGUACGUUGAGGCGGGUGGCUCUGUGUUGAGGUUAGUGGGCUCAAUACUGAGGUUAUUUUUCCUACUUGGUGCUUUAAAGGCAGUACGUUUGCUAGAAGUCUUAAAUGAGAGAUCUAAUUCAGGCUGACAGGGAAGCUGGCUGAGAGAGUCGUCCCUUGGUGGGUAUUUGUCAUCUCCUGCAAAUGCUGGUGUUAGAACUUGUGCUCACACGAGGCUAAGAUGUGCGCUUUAAGGGCAGCAGGAACCUCACAUGAUACAACAGGAAAAGUUUGUCUAAUACACUUUUAUUUCGAGGCUUGCUUUAUGUCUGCUAGCAAAAGUGGUUGCCAGGUGCUUUCAUGGUAUUGGUUUUAAUUUGCUCUAGCUUGAAGUGUACAAGCGGGAAAUGAUAGUUUUGAAAUGGUGAAGAAAGCAGGCUGGUUGAGCUGUUAGGCUCCUAUGUUGCCAUGCUAACCAUGUUAACAGCUGCUAAUGGUUUCUUAAGCUGCCAAAGCAGCCUGAAGAUAGAUUUAACACCCAACAGACACCUGUUUUUAGCAGUUCAGCUCCGCAGGCACAUGGCACAAUACUGCAGGGGUCCUGUCUGUAUGAAGAACAAAUAAAAUGUGUUCAACAGGUUGCUUCAGAGUGGAAA